rnacentral:rRNA from 1 species
GAUGAACGCUGGCGGCGUGCCUAAUACAUGCAAGUCGAGCGAACAGACGAGGAGCUUGCUCCUCUGACGUUAGCGGCGGACGGGUGAGUAACACGUGGAUAACCUACCUAUAAGACUGGGAUAACUUCGGGAAACCGGAGCUAAUACCGGAUAAUAUAUUGAACCGCAUGGUUCAAUAGUGAAAGACGGUUUUGCUGUCACUUAUAGAUGGAUCCGCGCCGCAUUAGCUAGUUGGUAAGGUAACGGCUUACCAAGGCGACGAUGCGUAGCCGACCUGAGAGGGUGAUCGGCCAAACUGGAACUGAGACACGGUCCAGACUCCUACGGGAGGCAGCAGUAGGGAAUCUUCAGCAAUGGGCGAAAGCCUGACGGAGCAACGCCGCGUGAGUGAUGAAGGUCUUCGGAUCGUAAAACUCUGUUAUUAGGGAAGAACAAAUGUGUAAGUAACUAUGCACGUCUUGACGGUACCUAAUCAGAAAGCCACGGCUAACUACGUG